CAUCGAGCUAAUGAUUCAUUGGACAUUCUAAUCUGUCUCAUGUUUUUUGAUCAAGCCUAUUGUCUUCCUGCCAGUUAAGGCAGAAGAUAAAACAGAGAGGAUAAGACAGAUAAGGUUUCAGCGUAAAACUCUCAAAACAGGUCUCCAUCCACUGGUUCUAGUCAGCUCUUUUCCCUGUCAGAAAAUAUAGCAAAUGGACACCAAAUAUUUGACACUGAAAACAGAACUAUUUUAAAAACCAAGUAGUCUCAGCCAAAAGCUAUUUAAAUGGAUAUUUCAAGGAUGGAUACCAAGGAAAGUGGCUAUUUAAAUGUAUAUUGUACAGGUUGAAUACCUACUGAAAUAAAUGUUU
rnacentral:lncRNA from 1 species